UACGUAGGGUGCAAGCGUUAAUCGGAAUUACUGGGCGUAAAGCGUGCGCAGGCGGUUCGGAAAGUGGGGUGUGAAAUCCCAGGGCUUAACCUUGGAACUGCACUUUUAACUACCGGGCUAGAGUACGUCAGAGGGGGGUAGAAUUCCACGUGUAGCAGUGAAAUGCGUAGAGAUGUGGAGGAAUACCGAUGGCGAAGGCAGCCCCCUGGGAUGAUACUGACGCUCAUGCACGAAAGCGUGGGGAGCAAACAGG
rnacentral:rRNA from 1 species